UUAAGUUAACAAGGGCGCAUGGUGAAUGCCUUGGCACUAGGAGCCGAUGAAGGACGGGACUAACACCGAUAUGCUUCGGGGAGCUGUACGUAAGCUAUGAUCCGGAGAUUUCCGAAUGGGGCAACCCAGCAGUUUUAAUCAACUGUUACCACUAGAUGAAUUCAUAGUCUAGUUGGAGGUAAACGCUGUGAACUGAAACAUCUCAUUAGCAGCAGGAAUAUAAAGAAAUUUCGAUUCCCUAAGUAGCGGCGAGCGAACGGGGAACAGCCCAAACCAAAGUGCUUGCACUUUGGGGUUGUAGGACUGAACAUUUGAGUUACCAAAGAACUUGAUAGUCGAAGGAUUUGGGAAAAUCCGCCAUAGAUGGUGAUAGCCCAGUAGAUUAAAUCAAAUUCUCUCAGUUCAGGAUCCUGAGUACGGCGGAACACGUGAAAUUCCGUCGGAAUCCGGGAGGACCAUCUCCCAAGGCUAAAUACUACCUAGUGACCGAUAGUGAACCAGUACCGUGAGGGAAAGGUGAAAAGCACCCCGGGAGGGGAGUGAAAUAGUUCCUGAAACCAUGUGCCUACAAUAAGUCAGAGCGCGUUAAUGCGUGAUGGCGUGCCUUUUGUAGAAUGAACCGGCGAGUUAUGAUCCCGUGCAAGGUUAAGACUAAAAAGUCGGAGCCGUAGCGAAAGCGAGUCUGAAAUGGGCGUUUUGAGUACGAGGUUAUAGACCCGAAACCAGGUGACCUAUCCAUGUCCAGGUUGAAGGUGCGGUAAAACGCACUGGAGGACCGAACCCGUGUAAGUUGAAAAUUGCUGGGAUGAGGUGUGGAUAGCGGUGAAAUUCCAAACGAACUUGGAGAUAGCUGGUUCUCUCCGAAAUAGCUUUAGGGCUAGCCUCGGAAUUAGGAUCAUGGAGGUAGAGCACUAUUUGGACUAGGGGCCCGUCUUGGGUUACUGAAUUCAGAUAAACUCCGAAUGCCAUUGAUUCAUAUCCGGGAGUCAGACGAUGAGUGAUAAGAUCCACCGUCGAAAGGGGAACAGCCCAGACCAUCAGUUAAGGUCCCUAAAUGUAUGCUAAGUGGAAAAGGAUGUGGAGUUGCAUAGACAACUAGGAUGUUGGCUCAGAAGCAGCUACCAUUUAAAGAGUGCGUAAUAGCUCACUAGUCGAGUGAUCCUGCGCCGAAAAUGUACCGGGGCUAAGCAUACUACCGAAACCAUGGAUGCGACCAUUAGGUCGCGUGAUAGGAGAGCGUUCUAAGGGCGGUGAAGCAAGAUCGUGAGGACUUGUGGAGCGCUUAGAAGUGAGAAUGCCGGUAUGAGUAGCGAAAGAUAGGUGAGAAUCCUAUCCACCGAAUGACUAAGGUUUCCUGGGGAAGGCUCGUCCUCCCAGGGUUAGUCGGGACCUAAGUCGAGGCCGAGAGGCGUAGACGAUGGAUAACAGGUUGAGAUUCCUGUACUAGUUAAGUGCGUUUGAGCAAUGGAGGGACGCAGGAGGCUAAGAUGUGCAUUCUGUUGGAUUAGAAUGUCCAAGCAGUAAGUCUUGUGAAGAGUCAAAUGCUUUUCACUUUAAGGACAAGCUGUGAUGGGGAGCGAAAUUUAGUAGCGAAGCGUCUGAUGUCACACUGCCGAGAAAAGCUUCUAGUGAGUACUUAACUACCCGUACCGCAAACCGACACAGGUAGUCGAGGAGAGAAUCCUAAGGUGAGCGAGUGAACUCUCGUUAAGGAACUCGGCAAAAUGACCCCGUAACUUCGGGAGAAGGGGUGCUGAUCGCAAGAUCAGCCGCAGUGAAUAGGCCCAGGCGACUGUUUAUCAAAAACACAGGUCUCUGCAAAAUCGUAAGAUGACGUAUAGGGGCUGACGCCUGCCCGGUGCUGGAAGGUUAAAAGGAUGGGUUAGCUUCGGCGAAGCUCAGAAUUGAAGCCCCAGUAAACGGCGGCCGUAACUAUAACGGUCCUAAGGUAGCGAAAUUCCUUGUCGGGUAAGUUCCGACCCGCACGAAAGGCGUAACGAUCUGGGCACUGUCUCAACGAGAGACUCGGUGAAAUUAUAUUGUCCGUGAAGAUGCGGACUACCCGCGACAGGACGGAAAGACCCCAUGGAGCUUUACUGUAGCUUGAUAUUGAGUGUUUGUACAGCUUGUACAGGAUAGGUAGGAGCCAUAGAAACCGGAACGCUAGUUUCGGUGGAGGCGUUGGUGGGAUACUACCCUCGCUGUAUGACCACUCUAACCCGCACCACUAAUCGUGGUGGGAGACAGUGUCAGGUGGGCAGUUUGACUGGGGCGGUCGCCUCCUAAAAAGUAACGGAGGCGCCCAAAGGUUCCCUCAGAAUGGUUGGAAAUCAUUCGCAGAGUGUAAAGGCACAAGGGAGCUUGACUGCGAGACAGACAGGUCGAGCAGGGACGAAAGUCGGGCUUAGUGAUCCGGUGGUACCGUAUGGAAGGGCCAUCGCUCAACGGAUAAAAGCUACCCUGGGGAUAACAGGCUUAUCUCCCCCAAGAGUCCACAUCGACGGGGAGGUUUGGCACCUCGAUGUCGGCUCAUCGCAUCCUGGGGCUGUAGUCGGUCCCAAGGGUUGGGCUGUUCGCCCAUUAAAGCGGUACGCGAGCUGGGUUCAGAACGUCGUGAGACAGUUCGGUCCCUAUCCGUCGCGGGCGUAGGAAAUUUGAGAGGACCUGUCCUUAGUACGAGAGGACCGGGAUGGACAUACCUCUGGUGUACCAGUUGUGCCGCCAGGCGCAUCGCUGGGUAGCUACGUAUGGAUGUGAUAAACGCUGAAAGCAUCUAAGUGUGAAACACACCUCGAGAUGAGAUUUCCCAUUCCUUUAUGGAAGUAAGACCCCUGAAAGAUGAUCAGGUAGAUAGGUUAGAAGUGGCAGUGCGGUGACGCAUGAAGCGGACUAAUACUAAUCGGUCGAGGACUUAACCAA
rnacentral:rRNA from 2 species